CGGCAACACCGGAAGUCCCCCAGUCCUCCUCCCCCCGCUUUUUUUUUUUCCGGACUGCGUUCCACCCGGUGGCAACGUUAUGGCUUGGCGCAUGCGCUAGGACCGGCUCGGUGCGUGGCAGUGCCUGUGAGCGGCGGGGGGGAGGAGCCAGCCUCCCUCUCUCUCCGCCCCCCUUCCCCCUCCCUCUAGCCGCUCUGGCUGCUGUAGCAGCUGCGUCUGGGGAGGAACGUCCCGCGUGGAAAUCCCCCUAGCCCCGGCUCCUCCCUCCCGCCCACCCCGGGAUGGAACAGCCUGGCAGCCGCUGCAAGAAGGUCAAGCUGAGCAACAGGGCGCAAAGCUGGAACACUGAGAGGUUUCUAAUGGGAGAGAAAGUAUUUAAAGAAGAAGAAAUUAAGUGUUUGAAAGGAGGACUGAGUUCAACCAGGCAUGUUAUGCUGAGCUGGAAGGUGUUUGAAAGAGCAACAUAGUGGCACACACACUGUUUUCUUUUUAUGCCUUGCUGAAAGCCCUAAAGCUAAAGAAUCAGUUUGUUGGAUGUAGUGGAACAUGUCAGGUCUGGAGAAGGAUGAAGCAAACAAGCUAAUGUUAAGAAACAGAAACUGAGGUAACUUUCCAUUUCUUAGGUCAGUGGUGCCAGAUCUCCUGAGGCUCCAGUAAGUCAUUUGUUGUUGCUCCAGUUUAAGGUAGCUCAGGCUGCCCAGUGAUAAUUGGUAAGCUGUAUGCUUGGUUGAAUUUGUGUUGCAACUGCUUCCUUGUUAUGCCAAAGUAAGAGUAAAUUCAUCAGCAGCUCCUUGAUAAAGUGCGUCUGUUCAGAGCUGUUCACGAGAUCCGUCCAGCCCCUCUUUAAAGAGAUAGAGAUCUUU
rnacentral:lncRNA from 1 species